GUACCCCAUGAGAAAGCCACGGCUAACUACGUGCCAGCAGCCGCGGUAAUACGUAGGUGGCGAGCGUUAUCCGGAUUUACUGGGUGUAAAGGGUGUGUAGGCGGGGCUGCAAGUCAGAUGUGAAAACUAUGGGCUCAACUCAUAGCUUGCAUUUGAAACUGUGGUUCUUGAGGGUCGGAGAGGUAACUGGAAUUCCCGGUGUAGCGGGUGGAAAUGCGUAGAUAUCGGGAGGAACACCAGUGGCGAAGGCGAGUUACUGGACGAUACCUGACGCUGAGACACGAAAGUGUGGGGAGCAAACAGGAUUAGAUACCCUGGUAGUCCACACGGUAAACGAUGAAUACUCGCUGUUUGCGACAUACGGCAAGCGGCCAAGCGAAAGCGUUAAGUAUUCCACCUGGGGAGUACGCCGGCAACGGUGAAACUCAAAGGAAUUGACGGGGGCCCGCACAAGCGGAGGAACAUGUGGUUUAAUUCGAUGAUACGCGAGGAACCUUACCCGGGCUUAAAUUGCAGAUGAAUUACGGUGAAAGCCGUAAGCCGCAAGGCAUCUGUGAAGGUGCUGCAUGGUUGUCGUCAGCUCGUGCCGUGAGGUGUCGGCUUAAGUGCCAUAACGAGCGCAACCCUUGUUGUCAGUUACUAACAGGUUUCGCUGAGGACUCUGACAAGACUGCCAUCGUAAGAUGUGAGGAAGGUGGGGAUGACGUCAAAUCAGCACGGCCCUUACGUCCGGGGCUACACACGUGUUACAAUGGGGGGUACAGAGGGCCGCUACCACGCGAGUGGAUGCCAAUCCCAAAAACCUCUCUCAGUUCGGACUGGAGUCUGCAACCCGACUCCACGAAGCUGGAUUCGCUAGUAAUCGCGCAUCAGCCACGGCGCGGUGAAUACGUUCCCGGGCCU
rnacentral:rRNA from 1 species